AGAGCGCCGUCGACCCCACGCCACGCAGAGGUGAAGAUACGCAGGACGUCCUCUAAAGCAACUUCCGUGGGUGCCAGGUUGUGGGCUGGGGGCGGUGCUGACCUUGAGAGAGCGGAGGAGGCGCAGGCGCAGCACAGUUUAAACUUGAUUUUGUGAGGGGACGAACAGCGUGACAAUUAAAAGAAGAUCUGGGAAUCAUCCAAUGUGAUAAUUUAUGUGAAAUCUUUCUGCAAACUAUACAGUAUGAUAAAAAUAUAAGGUAGUUUCACUGGAAACAACAGAAGACUAGAAGCUGAUGUGACGUGGCAAUAUCAACCAGGAUCAGUUAAUCAUCACAUCUUCAGUAGUCUGGAAAUGUCAGCAUGCCAUGAAAGUAGGUGUUCAAGAACAUGACUGGAAAAAUACUUCAAUCCUCAGCCCACUUGGAUGAAGCCAAAGAAUCCACUGUCUAUCUUUUCUAUUCCAGCUGUACCUGUCAAAGAAUACCCAUCUCGAGUUCUGGAUAUGUGCUCUGAGAAGGUGCCCAUGUCACCGACCACACUGGAGGCCAAUGCAGAUACUGGGGGAAGGUUCCAUGGUAGCUAAGUGUGGACAAGCUAAUCACUGAAGUUCCCUGAUGCAGAGUUGAUAAUCUCUCUAGAGUUGGAUGAAAGACUGUGCUGCCUUGAAGCUCUGAGAGAUGCCAUGCCAAUUCAAGGCAGGGUCUUUAUUGUUGAAACUCUUGCGUAAUGACAUCUUUAUUCAGGUGAAAAUACAGGAUGAAUUUCAACUAUAUGAUAUUGUUUAUGUUCCUCAGACAUGUUAUUUGUCUUUACAAAGAUUGGUUUCAAUAAACUGUGUGACUGAUAUUAAAUAAACAUGGAAUUUUACACAUUCAUAA
rnacentral:lncRNA from 1 species